rnacentral:rRNA from 1 species
AUUGAACGCUGGCGGCAGGCCUAACACAUGCAAGUCGAGCGAGCGGCGGACGGGUGAGUAAUGUAUGGGGACUGCCCGUUAGAGGGGGAUAACUACUGGAAACGGUAUCUCAUACCGCAUACUCUCGGAUAAUCCAUAUGGGAUUAGGUCGUUGGUGUGGUAAUGGCUCACCAAGGAGACGAUCCCUAGCUGGUCUGAGAGGAUGGUCCGCCACACUGGGACUGAGAAACGGCCCAGACUCCUACGGAGGCAGCAGGGGGGAAUAUUGCACAAUGGGCGCAAGCCUGAUGCAGCCAUGCCGGGGGUAUGGAGAAGGCCCUAGGGUUGUAAAGUACUUUCAGUCGGGAGGCGUUACCGACAGAAGAAGCACCGGCUAACUCCGUGCCAGCAGCCGCGGUAAUUCC